UACGGAGGGUGCAAGCGUUAUCCGGAAUCACUGGGUUUAAAGGGUGCUUAGGCUGCUGCAUAAGUCAGGGGUGAAAGUUUGUCGCUUAACGAUAGAAUUGCCUUUGAUACUGUGCGGCUUGAAAUUAGGUGAGGUUGGCGGAAUGUGACAUGUAGCGGUGAAAUGCGUAGAUAUGUCAUAGAACACCGAUUGCGAAGGCAGCUGGCUAACCUAUAUUUGACGCUGAGGCACGAAAGCGUGGGGAGCGAACAGG
rnacentral:rRNA from 1 species